AACCCACUACUCAGGAACAAAAAAAAAUCUGUUUUCUCAGCCUAUAAAUAGAUGGCUUUAGUUAGAUUAUUUUUCACGCAAAAAUUUAGAGAAUUAAGAGAAAAGCAAUUUACUUCUUUUGCAUUCUGUUCAACUCUGUAUUGCAGCAACUUGUUCCGGUUCCUGUUUCUUUUCAAUUCCAGUUUGCUGUUCCUACAGGUUCUCAUUGUUACAUGUUAUUAUUGGUUUGUUUAAUUUCAAUUCACUUUUGUUAUUUAUGUUGCAGUGUCACUGCUUGUUUUAUUUAAUUGAAAUUUUGUUCUUUAUUUUUUAGCUUCUGUUCGGUUACUUUAAUAUUGCUUUGGUUAUUGAGUCUGUCUUUUUUUAAUUACUUAUGUUCUUCAUGUUUAUCACACUUGUCAAUUAUUUAAAUACUAUGUUUUUACUUGCAACUAUGUAUAACUAAUUUAUUAAAACUGGGAUGUGAACUUAAAAGCUAAUUUGGAUUCGGUGAUUAAUUUGUAUACUCAAUUUUUAAACUAGUUUUCUGUAUCAGUUUUUAAUAAUUAAAUUAAUAAUUUUGCACGAGAGUGAAAAUUAACUAAGCUAUAAAUUAAUAGCGCGAUAGUGUGAGAUUUGUACCGGAUAGUAAAAACUGAACAUUAAUUUUAAACACCGCGACAGCUCUUUAAAGUUAAUUAAAUAAUAUUAGUUUUCAAAAAGUAUUUUAUAAAUAAAUGUGAGAGCGAGAGUGAAGCAUUCAUUUAUAUAAUAUAGUAUCAGUUCAAUAGCGCGACGGCGUGAGACUAUAUUUUUAAACUAAUGUUGUUUUGAGAAAACUAGAUCUUUUUAAUUAAAUUG
rnacentral:lncRNA from 1 species